rnacentral:lncRNA from 1 species
GUAAUUUAAGCUCUACCAUUACAAAUAUUGUUUUGCUGGGGCACGCUAGCAAAAUCUAUAUGUAUGCCAAUUAUUCUAUUAAACAUCCAAGCCUGAAAUAACCAGAGGUUUAUUUCAUUCAUGUAACUUGAAUGACCUGAUGGUUUUUGAUAUUUUUAUGGGAGGCAUUUUGUAACUUAGUAUCACGACAACUGGUGGCUAAUAAAUUACAUGAAGUUCAUAAAAAAGCUUGUAAAUAAAAGCAAAUUUACUAAGAAACAAAGAUCCUGAUUCUCCUUUUCUUCUCUCUGGUACACAUCAGGAAUGAUUCCAUGGAUGUCAGUGGAGUUAUUCUCGUGGGAGAAAGAAAAAAAAGAAAAAAAGAAGAAAAAACAAAUCCAAAAUCUGGCUGACACAGUUCAGAUGGUUCAGACUGAUGCUGGUUGAGAGCUCUUCUAUUCUUUUCUGAUCCAGACAGAUACCUAUCAGACAAAGCACAUGUAGCAAAUUGACUAUGCUUUUGUUCACAGCUCUGUCAUAUCAGUCUCAGAAAUGUACACUGGCAUUUAUAAAGGACUGAAUUGGUAAUUUGAUCCAUAAAAGCAUCAUGACAGGCACAGCAGAAGAAAAUCAGUGGACGUGUCCAUCUUAAACUUUUUAAAGAUUAUCAAGGAAAGAUCCAACAAUGACAGUGAACAAAAGCUUCUUGAUGUGUGUCUCUGCAGAGGGUACUGCGCUCAUAGCAUAAAAGUAAUUAAUAGAAAAAGAAAAGUGUAUUAAUCAGAAAUAUUAUUAUAGAAUGUCUGUGCUCUACAAAAAGUCUUUCCUCUCCUAUCUGGUUCUUUACACCUCUGAUUACUCAAGAUGGCAACAGAGGGGGGAAAAAAAAAGAUCUAGUGAGAAGCUAUAUGCUGAAAUCUUCUCAUCUUGAAAUUGAAAGUAUUUGUCAACACAAGGGUUGAGAAGCUAUACCAUCAAUUAUUAUAGCCAGAUUGCAUCUUGGUCUGCAUACACACACACACAUACACACACACACACACACACACACACAAAUUCUUUUUUAUUAAACUUCUGAAUUGUUAGCACUGCUAGCUAUUCUGAAAGAAAUGGCAGAACAAAUGUGCUGAGAAUAAAGUCUAGGUCACAUCUUACUCUACGCUAAGC